rnacentral:rRNA from 1 species
AACCUGGUUGAUCCUGCCAGUAGUCAUACGCUCGUCUCAAGGAUUAAGCCAUGCAUGUGUAAGUUCAAUGAUUUGACCAAAAAACUGCGAAUGGCUCAUUAUAUCAGUUAUAGUUUAUUUGAUAGUCCCUUACUACCUGGAUACCCGUAGUAAUUCUAGAGCUAAUACAUGCGUAAACACUCGACCUUUGGAAGAGUGGUAUUUAUUAGAUUGAAACCAUCCCAGCUUGCUGGUGAUUUGGUGAUUCACAAUAACUAAUCGGAUCGCAUGGGUUAACCCCGGCGAUGGAUCAUUCAAGUUUCUGUCCUAUCAGAUGCGACGGUAAUGUAUUGGGUUACCGUGUCAGUGACGGGUAACGGAGGAUUAGGGUUCGAUUCCGGAGAGGGAGCCUGAGAGACGGCUACC